rnacentral:rRNA from 1 species
AGAGUUUGAUCCUGGCUCAGGAUGAACGCUGGCGGCGUGCCUAACACAUGCAAGUCGAGCGAUCUUCUUCGGAAGAGAGCGGCGGACGGGUGAGUAACGCGUGGGUAACCUGCCUCAUACACAUGGAUAACAUACCGAAAGGUAUGCUAAUACAAGAUGAUAUAAGAGAUUCGCAUGGAUUUCUUAUCAAAGCUCCGGCGGUAUGAGAUGGACCCGCGUCUGAUUAGCUAGUUGGUAAGGUAACGGCUUACCAAGGCGACGAUCAGUAGCCGACCUGAGAGGGUGAUCGGCCACAUUGGAACUGAGACACGGUCCAAACUCCUACGGGAGGCAGCAGUGGGGAAUAUUGCACAAUGGGCGAAAGCCUGAUGCAGCAACGCCGCGUGAGCGAUGAAGGCCUUCGGGUCGUAAAGCUCUGUCCUCAAGGAAGAUAAUGACGGUACUUGAGGAGGAAGCCCCGGCUAACUACGUGCCGGCAGCCGCGGUAAUACGUAGGGGGCUAGCGUUAUCCGGAUUUACUGGGCGUAAAGGGUGCGUAGGUGGUUUCUUAAGUCAGGAGUGAAAGGCUACGGCUCAACCGUAGUAAGCUCUUGAAACUGGGAAACUUGAGUGCAGGAGAGGAAAGUGGAAUUCCUAGUGUAGCGGUGAAAUGCGUAGAUAUUAGGAGGAACACCAGUAGCGAAGGCGGCUUUCUGGACUGUAACUGACACUGAGGCACGAAAGCGUGGGGAGCAAACAGGAUUAGAUACCCUGGUAGUCCACGCCGUAAACGAUGAGUACUAGGUGUCGGGGGUUACCCCCCUCGGUGCCGCAGCUAACGCAUUAAGUACUCCGCCUGGGGAGUACGCUCGCAAGAGUGAAACUCAAAGGAAUUGACGG